UGCCAAAGGCUUCAGUCACAGCAGGGAGGUGCCGAUAUAGAUGUCCAGUCCCACUUUGACCCUGGCAAAGUCAGCUGCAAUGUUUAUUGGUACCAACUUACCACAGUCUAUGAGUAGACAGAUGCGCAGGGUUGAACAGUUGCCCAUCAGACCUG